rnacentral:RNase_P_RNA from 1 species
AGUAGCGGGAGCCCGGCCCCCGUGUGCGGCCCUCGGGCGCGCACAUGAGGAAAGUCCCCCCACCAGUCGGGCAGGCGACCGGGCACAAGCCCGGGGCGGGAGACCGUCGGCCCUGGAACAGAGACGACACGUCUCCGUCCGACCGAUGCGGUGUGCGAACCCGCGGCGAGAAGGCCGUGGGGAGUGAACCCACCGAGGAAUGAGGGCGGAGGAGCGAUGGAACGGCCACCCUCGCCGGUGCAAGUCCGCGCACAGGAAGGUAGCCCGGCGUCCCGCGCGGACGCUCAGCCGAAUGCCGGAAGAACAGAAGGGGGCUUACUCCCCGCAACU